rnacentral:rRNA from 1 species
UACGGAGGGUGCAAGCAUUAAUCGGAUUUAUUGGGCGUAAAGAGCUCGUAGGCGGCUUGUCACGUCGGGUGUGAAAGCCCGGGGCUUAACCCCGGGUCUGCAUUCGAUACGGGCUAGCUAGAGUGUGGUAGGGGAGAUCGGAAUUCCUGGUGUAGCGGUGAAAUGCGCAGAUAUCAGGAGGAACACCGGUGGCGAAGGCGGAUCUCUGGGCCAUUACUGACGCUGAGGAGCGAAAGCGUGGGGAGCGAACAGG